UACGGAGGGUGCAAACGUUGCUCGGAAUCAUUGGGCGUAAAGCGCACGUAGGCGGUCCGGCAAGUCGGAUGUGAAAUCCCUCGGCUCAACCGAGGAAGUGCAUUCGAAACUGCCAGACUUGAGUAUGGAAGAGGGUCGCGGAAUUCCCGGUGUAGAGGUGAAAUUCGUAGAUAUCGGGAGGAACACCAGUGGCGAAGGCGGCGACCUGGGACAAUACUGACGCUGAGGUGCGAAAGCGUGGGGAGCAAACAGG
rnacentral:rRNA from 1 species